UACAGAGGUCUCAAGCGUUGUUCGGAUUCAUUGGGCGUAAAGGGCGCGUAGGCGGCGGGUAAGUCGGGUGUGAAAUCUCAGGGCUCAACCCUGAAACUGCACUCGAUACUGCUCUGCUUGAGGACUGGAGAGGAGACUGGAAUUCAACGGUGUAGCAGUGAAAUGCGUAGAUAUCUGGAGGAACACCGGUGGCGAAGGCGGCAUCCUGGACCGGCAUUGACGCUGAGGCGGCGAAAGCUAGGGGAGCAAACGGG
rnacentral:rRNA from 1 species